rnacentral:rRNA from 1 species
GACAGAGGUGGCAAGCGUUGUUCGGAUUCAUUGGGUGUAAAGGGCAGGUAGGUGGCUAUGUAAGUCCGGUGUGAAAUCCCAGAGCUCAACUCUGGAACUGCAUUGGAAACUACAUGGCUUGAGUACCGGAGAGGUGAGGGGAAUUCUCGGUGUAAGGGUGAAAUCUGUAGAUAUCGGGAGGAACACCAGUGGCGAAGGCGACUAUCUGGGCUGAAACUGACGCUGAGGCGCGAAGGCUAGGGGAGCAAACAGG